GGGCAAAAUGACAGUCUUGGGAGUUCUGUUUGCUGUCCUCGUCCCUUGUUUCAACCACGGGAUCUGAUCUUGUGAUACACUGAAUACAUUGCUUCUCUCAAGGAGAUAUCAGGUCAUGGAAAGAAGACAACUAAAGAGAAUCUAUCAAUACCAAGCUUGCUCUUCUAUUCUCAGGUUGAGGUGACGGGUCAUCAGUGAGAGCUACAGUGAAGAAUGUAUUCAUUCAAAUUCUACAGCACACGGGCCAGGUUAAGAUCACCUUUUAUCAUCCACGUGCUUUCAAAAACAGCAGUCACAAAAUUGACAAAACCAACCAAGAAAUGGCUGUUGCUAUUCAUCUUCCUGCUCAUCUUCCAUGGGAGCUUGAGGAUAAACCUGAAGGCUUAAUUUUUAAGUUGUAUGGAAGCGAUUUCCUCUGAGAUCAGACUGUUUCCCUUGGAGGAACUGUUCAUACUUGGGAUGUUAAGAGAGAGGUGAAAUGGCAGGAUGUUCUAAGGGGAGGUGAAACGGUCCGUUCUUCGGGGAAGCUCUUCAAGUUCAAUACCCUUUCAGAAUCCUCGACACUGAACAGAUUGGCUACUUUUUUCCCCUCCCCAUGCAUAUAUAAACGAUAAGGAAUGCAGAGAGAUACUCCCAGAGAACCCUACCUCCACGGAAGGAGUAAAGACUAGCUGGUCCACUUGGAAGAAGAAACCUUGACCAACUGAGCUACCUUGAAAAGACACUCUACAACCUGCUGAGCUGCCUGAAGGCUGUACAGUAUGCUCCGGGUCCCAGUUUUUGGAGUUUUCACCUAUGCUGGAGUGCAUUGGAGGGAUGAAGUUGCCAAAUAAGUAAUCUCUCCUAUAAGUAAUUCUACUCCUAUAAGUAAUCUCUCAUACAAAUAAAUCCCUUUGAGUUA